UUUAAUAUGGCAGAUAAGUGCAAUGGAUUUAAGCUUCAUAAAUGAAGGAUUUACCUUCUAUUAAAA
rnacentral:tRNA from 1 species